AGCACUGAGGCUGCGCUCAGCGGGGAGGCUGGCGAGUCACGGCCUUCGCUUGUUUCUAAAGCUUCUUUGGCGUUUCCCGAGACCCUGAGUGCCAACGCGGCGAAGCCGCGUCCCGGGCCAACGGCCGGCUCCCCGGGGCCAGGCCCCUGACCUAGUCCUCAGAGCCCGUGCAAGGUCGGCGAUGCGAGCGCUCGGGGCGGCAGCCGUGAGGAACGGGGAGGUCCGCAAGGAGGAUCUCGUGCCCAAGGAACCUGGGAAUCACGAAGGCAACGCGAUGGAGUCAGAUUGCAAUCACGUCUGUCGGCACUCUGAGCCUUUUGUGAUUUGUGAUUGAUGGCUGCACGUACAGGGACCCAUCUGAGUCUAAACUGCGCAUAAUUAAGGGGACCUGACAGAAAAACAAAAUAAAAAACAGAACUUGGAAAAGGACGCUGCUACUUUAAACUUACGUUGAGCUGAGGAGGCGGGGACUAUUCUGGUCCAUCUCAUCUGCAUACAGUGGGGUGCCUGGCUCGUGGCAGAUCCAAGACGGAUAUGAUAAAGCAAGGCGGGUACCUGAGGACAGAAAACACCAGGCCCAGAUGCCUUCAGUGGUGAUUCUACCAAACAUUUAAGGAAGAAAUCACACCAAUUGUACACAAACUUCCAGAAAAUUGAAGAGGAGGGAGUAUUGUCUAACUUAUUCCAUGAAGCCCUCAUCAUCUUGAUCCCAAAACCAAGCAAAGACAUUACAAGAAAACUACAGACCAAUAUCCUUCAUGAACAUAGAUGCAACAUUUUUCAACAAAAUUUUAGCCAGUUAAAUCCAACAAUAUAUAAAAAGGAAAAUACAUCAUGACCAAAUGGGUCUUUUCCAAGAACACAAGACUAGUUCAACAUUCAAAAAUUAAGGUAACCGGGCUUCCCUGGUGGCGCAGUGGUUGAGA